GGGAUUGUAAACACUCGCUCGUGCAUUGUCAACGGUACGACUCUGUGCUAGGACCACACCAGGUAUCCCUUCUGAUGACAAAGAUUGCUGCCUGGAAAAUGGAAGCCUCGAAAUUUGACUGCCAUUAUUAGCUCCACUUAGCAUUUGAGCCCUAGGUUGUGAUUGGGACAUUCGCAUAAUCACAGAAUUAUUAUGUUGUGCCAUGGAGUUGUUCACUUGCAUAUUCAUUCCCAUAAAGGACUGGGAAGGGUGGUGCAAAUUCGCAAGCUGCUUCGGUUCCAUGGUGGUU
rnacentral:misc_RNA from 1 species